GCUUUCCUGUGGCUCAGUCAGUAGAGCAUUGGUCCAGCAACACAAGGGUCUUGAGUUCAAAUCCCAGGGAAAGCA